UGUGGGUGGGACCACCAUGGUUUUACACCCCACCCUACCUUAGGGAAGAAGAAAACAUUUUAAAGAAUACCAGAAGUAGAAUCACAUGUAACAGUCUCUGCCCAGUCAUCAGUUUAUUGUUAAGCUUUCCUUUGUAAUUUCAGGGCUUAAGCACUAUUAUCCUAAUCCAAGUUCACAGUCCUGUUGUUGUCGAGGAGGGUUCAAAAUCAUUUGGAGAUAAUCAAGCUCAGACAGCUUAGGAUAGGUGAGAAGAACAUAGAGGAAGCAGGGAGAAGGCUGAGAAGCAAGCAGGAGUGAGCGCUAAGUGUGUUGUUUCCAGUUAGCUGUUUGCUGUCUUUUCCAUUUAACCUGGGCACCGCCCUAGCCUCAUCUUCAGCCUUCAGUGAUCUAUAAUAGCAUUUCCUUCUGUCUCCUGUCAGUCUCUCUUCCGCCUUCCUUCCCUCCUUUACUGUAUUAGCAACAAGCUGUCCAUGGGUCGGGGCUGUGUGUUAGCCUGUACAUAGCACAUGGGACUUCGCACAUAGUAGAUAUUCAGUUACAUUUUGAACUAAUUAUAUAACAAACUUGCCCUUUGAAAGACUAAGUUAUAGUUAAAAACCAAGAUUUGUAGGAGAAAAAGAAAUUAUUGUUCCCUUCAGUUGGAAAAAUCAUCGAUAUUUGAAACUGGGAUACGCUUGGUAGCUUUUUUGUUUUAACACAAAGUAAACCUGUGAAGUAGAAUUUGGCGUUUUGUUUUUUGGUGUUUUUUUUUUUUUUUAGCUUAAUUUUCAGAACUUGAAGAGAGAGAACAACAACAAAAAACAAACUGCGCUAGCCAGGUGCAACGGCGCAUGCCUGUAGUCCCAGCUACUUGGGAGGCUGAGGCAGGCAGGAGUUCAAGGCUGCAGUGAGCUGUCUGUGCCACGGCACUCCAACCUGGGCAAAAGAGGAGACCUCAUCUAAAGAAGAAUCCACCAAAAACCCUGUGUUUUAAAGUGCAAACUGAUGAUGGAGGAAUGGUACCAUUUUCAUCCACUAGGUGGAAGCAAUUACAGUAUGACCUGCAUUAAAGACAUGUACAGUUUUUUGGCCGGCUGCAGUGGCUCACACCUGUGAUCUCAACACUUUGGGAAGCUGAGACGGGAGGAUUGCUUGAGCCCAGGAGUUUGAGACCAGCUUGGGCAACGUGAUGAAACCCUGUCUCUACAAAUAAAAAAAAAAAUUAGCCAGGCAUGGUGGCACAAGCCUGUGGUCCCAGCUACUCAGAAGGCUGAGGUGGGAGUAUUGAUCGAGCCCAGGAGGUCAAGGCUGCAGCAAGCUGUCGCACCACUGCACUCUAGCCUGGGCAACAGCAAGACCCUCGUCUCAAAAAAGAAAAAAAAAAGUACAAUUUUUGUAUUGAUUAUGUAUUCCUUAAGUAGGAGUGGAAUAAAAGUAUUUUACCGUGG
rnacentral:lncRNA from 1 species